rnacentral:sRNA from 1 species
AGCAGCCGCGGUAAUUCCAGCUCCAAUAGCGUAUAUUAAAGUUGUUGCAGUUAAAAAGCUCGUAGUUGAAUUUCGGGAUCAAUAUUUCGGUCAUGCCGUUGGUAUGCACUGUUAUAAUUGAUUUCUCACCUUCUAAAGAACCGUAAUGCCAUUAAUUUGGUGUUACGGGGAAUUAGGACUGUUACCUUGAAAAAUUAGAGUGUUUAAAGCAGGCUCACGCUUGAAUACAUUAGCAUGGAAUAAUGAAAUAGGACAUCCGAUUCUAUUUUGUUGGUUUCUAGGAUCGAUGUAAUGAUUAAUAGGGAUAGUUGGGGGCAUUAGUAUUCAAUUGUCAGAGGUGAAAUUCUUGGAUUUAUUGAAGACUAACUACUGCGAAAGCAUUUGCCAAGGAUGUUUUCAUUAAUCAAGAACGAAAGUUAGGGGAUCGAAGACGAUCAGAUACCGUCGUAGUCUUAACCAUAAACUAUGCCGACUAGGGAUCGGAUGAUGUUAAUUUUUAAUGA